AAAAUAUGUAAUUGGGUAAUUUUAGCUUUCCAGCUGACGAGGAAAGGAAGUCGCAAUGGACAAAAAUAAUUCAAAAAGCACGGCUAGAUGAGUUCUGGAAAUCAUCAAAGCGGAGCGUAAUUUGCUCAAUUCACUUUGAGGAGCAAUAUAUUUAUUGCACGAAAAGUGGUUUGAAAAGAUUAAAAAAAGAAGCUUAUCCAAAUAAGAAUUUGGCUCUAGCUCCAGGAAUGAUCGAAACACCCGCGAAAUUAUCGGAUCUUCCAAUACCCAGGAUUGAUACACAGCCAUCAUCUACGAUAUCAAAUUCCGAGACUGAUGACGUUUAUAAUUUGGAUUUAGAUCCAGUAAAAUCCAAUACAUCUGUGGGAAUAUCUGGAAUUUUGAA